GAGAGUCAAGUAAAUCCCAUUUAAACUUCCUUCCUUCUUCCAGUACCUUACCAGAAAGACAAAGGUGAAAAUGUUACCUACUCUCUGGCGCAUACCAAGAGGAAAGAAGCCAGGCCUGUGGAAAAGUUCCCCUCCCAGAGGGGAGGCAGACGGAUCCCUGCUCUUUCCCUGCCCUCUGUCUUACAUCUGCUUCCUCAUCCUGAUCCAGCACUCCCGCAGGACAAUUCUGUCUACACAGAGACGACACACUCUCGGCCCAAGAAACGUCCUGCAAAGAAUUGAAUCCAAGAAGCCAGGCACACCGAGAUCUCUUCGUUGACUGCAAGGAUGUGCUGUACCAGUGAUGGCAUCCCCUCCCCCCAGCCUAUACCCACACCCAGCCUCCGCUGCUCCCUGGGCAGUCAGGGGUCUGUUCCUGAGUCCAGCAGUGAGAGAGUCCCUGGGCCCUUAC
rnacentral:lncRNA from 1 species